CAACAGCUGGAUGGAUUUAGUGUGUUUGUGUUUACUGGGCAGAUUAAAUCUGUGGCUCUGACUUCUUUUAGAGUCUGGGUGAGUUUCUGCCAGACAGUUUUUAGUUUGAGGUUAGGACAGGUGAUCAGUCAGCUGAAGAAUCAGAGAUGUGUCUGCUGGACGCUCAGAUAGAUGGCAGCUUGGGACCGAGCAGAAAGGAAGACUGAAAGGUUCAGGUGUCCUGGUCCAGGUGUGUUCCAGUGUGCUUUGACUGGACUGGUGUUUGUUAGGACUCAGGAGGCGGAGCUGCUGUACAACACUGUCCAAUGGGACGAGAGAGAGCCUCCUCCAAUCAGCUGUCAGGAUGGCUGCAGGGCCGCUGUAGGACAUCAAGUGUUCAGAGGAGGCUGCUGUCUGUCAGCUCCACCUUCCACACUGUGACAUCAGAGAUGGUAAGAGAUGAGUUUAAUAGAGCUGCUAGUUAGUAGUAGUCAGACUAGUAACACUGCUGCACUACAAUCAUUCUCCAUCAGACCAGAGUGGACCAGCUGUGUGUCUCCAAAUGUUCUGAUGUGUCUUUAGGUGAGUGCCCAAUAUCACCAAUCUAGGAACAUCCAGGUUCCUUCCACAUGUAGACUUCAUCAGAGAUCAGAGUUACACUGUCCACUGUCCUCAGGCCGUUAAAAUACAGCCAAAGAAAGCAGAUUUUGAGCUGGAGUUUGGACCAAACUACCAGCCAACGUUUGAGAUCCUCCUGCCUAUAAACACACCAGAAGUGACUCUAAGAGUCCAAGACGAAGGACAGAGCGUCUGGGAGCAUGACGUGGACAUGAUUGGUAAAGUUUUGAUCCACCUGAUACAACAGAAGACAAUAGAGUUAUGGAGUUAUGAAGACAAUCGGUAUCAGGGCGGCUAAAAGUGUGAUUGGGGCAUCUCUAGUUAAGAUCAGACGUGACUUCACUUCCUGAAGGUUACCACACGAUGCAGAACGUGACGUAGCUCCGUUUGUUCCCUAAAGUUAAAAAACUGAAACCUAAAUAUAGGUCCCAAUGCUGCUGGAACAAACCAACUUGUGGGGCAGUUUUUAGGGGAGGAAAGUCUUGUUUCAUGUGCUGCAGCUAAUCCUCUAUCUAGCCUCCAAACUGAUGUUAGCGGUGCUGAAUGUUUGUCUGGGGGCUCGUUCAACAAGCUAAGGUUCAG